GAAGGAGAAGGUUCUUGCAACUCUUACAAAACCAGUUGGUGGUGACAAGAACGGCGGUACCCGGAUGGUUAAACUUCGCAAAAUGCCUAGAUAUUAUCCUACUGAAGAUGUGCCUCGAAAGCUGUUGAGCCACGGCAAAAAACCCUUCAGUCAGCACGUGAGAAAACUGCGAGCCAGCAUUACCCCCGGGACCAUUCUGAUCAUCCUCACUGGACGCCACAGGGGCAAGAGGGUGGUUUUCUUGAAGCAGCUGGCUAGUGGCUUGUUACUUGUGACUGGACCUCUGGUCCUCAAUCGAGUUCCUCUAAGAAGAACACACCAGAAAUUUGUCAUUGCCACCUCAACCAAAAUCGAUAUCAGCAAUGUCAAAAUCCCAAAACAUCUUACUGAUGCUUACUUCAAGAAGAAGUUGCGGAAGCCCAGACACCAGGAAGGUGAGAUCUUCGACACAGAGAAAGAGAAAUACGAGAUUACAGAGCAGCGCAAGAUUGAUCAGAAAGCUGUGGACUCACAAAUUCUACCAAAAAUCAAAGCUGUUCCUCAGCUCCAGGGCUACCUGCGAUCUGUUUUUGCCCUGACGAAUGGAAUUUAUCCUCACAAAUUGGUGUUCUAAAUGUCUCAAGAUCCUCAUUAAAUAGCUAACUACAAAAA